rnacentral:rRNA from 1 species
AACGAACGCUGGCGGCAUGCCUAACACAUGCAAGUCGAACGAGACCUUCGGGUCUAGUGGCGCACGGGUGCGUAACGCGUGGGAACCUGCCCUUAGGUUCGGAAUAACUCCCCGAAAGGGGUGCUAAUACCGGAUAAUGUCUUCGGACCAAAGAUUUAUCGCCUUUGGAUGGGCCCGCGUUGGAUUAGCUAGUUGGUAGGGUAAAAGCCUACCAAGGCGACGAUCCAGAGCUGGUCUGAGAGGAUGAUCAGCCACACUGGGACUGAGACACGGCCCAGACUCCUACGGGAGGCAGCAGUGGGGAAUAUUGGACGAUGGGCGAUAGCCUGAUCCAGCAAUGCCGCGUGAGUGAUGAAGGCCUUAGGGUUGUAAAGCUCUUUUACCCGGGAUGAUAAUGACAGUACCGGGAGAAUAAGCUCCGGCUAACUCCGUG